GCGAAAGCGUGAAGCAGCGACGCCUCGUGAGGGAUGAAGGCCUUCGGGUUGUAAACCUCUUUCAGCAGGGACGAAGCGCAAGUGACCGUACCUGCAGAAGAAGCACCGGCUAACUACGUGCCAGCAGCCGCGGUAAUACGUAGGGUGCGAGCUUUGUCCGGAAUUACUGGGCGUAAAGAGUUCGUAGGCGGUUUGUUGCGUCGUUUGUGAAAACCCGGGGCUCAACUUCGGGCUUGCAGGCGAUACGGGCAGACUUGAGUGUGUCAGGGGAGACUGGAAUUCCUGGUGUAGCGGUGAAAUGCGCAGAUAUCAGGAGGAACACCGGUGGGGAAGGCGUGUCUUUGGGAAACAACUGACGGUGAGGAAAGAAAGCGUGGGUAGCAAACAGGAUUAGAUACCCUGUUAGUCCACGCCGUAAACGGUGGGCGCUAGGUGUGGGUUCCUUCCCCGGAAUCUGUGCCGUAGCUAACGCAUUAAGCGCCCCGCGUGGGGAGUACGGCCGCAAGGCUAAAACUCAAAGGAAUUGACGGGGGCCCGCACAAGCGGCGGAGCAUGUGGAUUAA
rnacentral:rRNA from 1 species